rnacentral:rRNA from 1 species
UCCUACGGGACGCAGCAGUGGGGGAUAUUGCACAAUGGGGGAAACCCUGAUGCAGCGACGCCGCGUGAGCGAUGAAGUAUUUCGGUAUGUAAAGCUCUAUCAGCAGGGAAGAAAAUGACGGUACCUGACUAAGAAGCCCCGGCUAACUACGUGCCAGCAGCCGCGGUAAUACGUAGGGGGCAAGCGUUAUCCGGAUUUACUGGGUGUAAAGGGAGCGUAGACGGCAGUGCAAGUCUGAAGUGAAAGCCCGGGGCCCAACCCCGGGACUGCUCUUGGAACUGCGCGGCUGGAGUGCAGGAGGGGCG